GGUUAAUGCAGGAACUUCACCAAUCACGGACUUUCCUCGUCUUGUUUACAGUCGAAGCUCAGCAGCACGCACCGGAGUUCAGGUACACAAAGGGAGGAGAGACUGACCCUGAUGAUGACCAUAUUGAACUGGAUGACAGCAGCAGCGGCAGGAACCUCCCAGUUCAACCUGCUUUUGCUGUACCUAAAGGGUCCUAAGACAUUUUUCAAACAAGAGCUGCAGGUCCUGCACAACAGAUCCUGAAGACCUUCCAUCGCACUCAGCAUGGUCAGCGUAUUCAGCUUAUACAUUCUCACCAUGAAAUUGAGAACAAUAACACCAAUAUCCUAGAAUCUUAUUAAGAAUCUAGAAGAUUCUUGUUAUUGUUCUCACUUGCACUGUGAGAAUUUGAGUGGCGCUUAUUCUGCUCAAGACAGAUUACUAUACAGAACAUUGAGAUGUUUACUGUACAGAGCUGAGCACUAACUAUUGAAUGAGAGUAUAGAAUAUUGUUGUUCACUGUUGGAAUUUGGAAACUUUUCAUGGGAAACAAUGGGAAUAUAUGAGAAUGUAUAGGAAUUAACAGAAAUAAUGGGACAUUUGCAAAAUUUCUGGUUAGCAUUUAAAUGGAAUUUAAAUGUAGUUAAAAGAAAUAACUUGCUUAUAUCUUGGUUAAAACAAUGAGAUUUAAUACAAAUUCCGUUGAAUUACUACCCUGUUCUGUGCAUUCCUCAACACAUGCACAGCUAAUUUCUAGAAUCCUGCAUGCCACAGCAGGACUAUUGAAGCCACAUUACUGCAUGCAAGUUUAACAAGCAAAUAAAAGUAAAUCAGAUAUGCUAAUGUAAGCUCACUAACAUCAUUUCAUUGACAAUUUAAGAGCUUAGCUAUCAUGGUGCUAGUUAGCACAACUGACUGUGAUGUGUUUCUUCUGCCUUCAGCUGGCCUUUUUUUAGACAAGAAUGUAGGUUAUAGUAUGGUUUAGCAUACUGAUUGAGGAGUGUUCAUCUAUUCAUCUAGCCCUUCUAUUCAUUUAUCCAGCAUAUCCAGUGCUUGGGGAAAAAAAACAUACUAUAACAGUUGUGUAUGUUGUGCCUGGUGUUUGACCACCAUAUCAUCGCAUCAAAGACUAUUACUUGUAUCUUUCAGAAUCCUGCUCCAGGCAGUGGCGGCAGCUGCGUGUUCAAGGAAAGAAAUUGGACUGUGUUGAGUUAGACCUUACACUGGCAGUUGGGGCAUUGUAUAGCAAUUUAACCCACGAGAUAUAAUUUUGACCAAAACCAAACCUAUUUAGAACUGAAAAUAAAUAAUUCCACUCCACUCUAUCAAAAGCCUUUUCUGCAUCCAUAGUAAUUACCAUUUCAGGGUCUUGUGAUUCUGGCUUGGACAGUAUUAUGUUGAGCAGAUGGAGUAUAUUGCAGAUGCAGUAGACCUACCAGGCAUACUGGCCUGCCUAUAACUUCAGUCCAGUUUUCAUAGAGCACCAAAAAAGUUAAAGGAGAUGUGUAAAGAGACGUCAUGUUUUCACUUACUGCUGAGAUCACGGUAGAAACACACCAAUUCAUCCGCGGUGUCAAAUAUGUGCGACUUUCCAUUAACAGUGACCUGUUACUGUGCCGGGUAGAUCAACCCCAAGGGUAUCCCAUCCUUAUAAAGGAGAGAUCCUUGCAGGAUAACCCUGGGAGGAGACGCUCUGUAUUUUCUUUGCCCAUAGCUGCACUCGCUCUUUCUGGAUGUAUCUGUGAAAGUGUACAACAAUGGGCUGGGAACCCUGUGCUGGCAUUGGCCCCAGACUGUGGUGAGAUCUGUCCAGUUCAAAGCUAGUAUCCAGUAAAGCGUCUCUGGUGCCUCCCUGACCAGCAUAAUCACAAAGAGUCAAGCAUCGGUCCCCUCUGCUUUAUCUGUUGCUACACUGCUAGCGUCUGCCUUGUUAGAGUCUUUAUCGUGCGGGCUGAAGUGUUGAGUCAGCUGAGGGUGGCUUUUGCUGCAUUUCCCGUGGGAUUUACUCAUUUCAGCUCCAAAAAUGUUACGCUGAAAAGGAAAUAAUUCAAAACGUGGGUGUAGAUAUGUUAAAGUUACAAAUGGUCAGGAAGGAAAUGCCAGGCUUUUGAUCACUCUGACGCCAUUAAUGGAAGUCAAAAAAAUCUCCAGCAAAUUUUUAAAGACCAUUUCAAUUGUUUAGCUAACUAUUUAUAUAUCUGUGCAGAGCAUUGCAUUAGCAUUUUUUUUUUACAAACUUUUCUAUCAUCUUAUUCUACAGAACAAUGUGGAUACAUUUUACCUCAGCCAAUGCAGAAGGAAAGGCUGUGAACAAUUCCAUGCAUGUUUGCUGAUGACAAAAGAAAAUGUUUAUAUUUAUGCUUGCAUAUGACACAGUUCGUAUGAAUUACCCACAUUUCCCAUUAAUUCCCAUUUAUUAUCAUGACAAGUUUCCAAUUUGCAAUAUUUCCAAAAUUCCCCAGUUUAACUUCCCAUGGAAAGUUUCCAGAAAUGUUUCCACCCCUUUGCAACCCUACUGCUUACUGUGCAUAACACAUGUUUACUAUAGAGUUGAAAAGUAUUGAUCCUAAUUAUUAAAAAUGUAAUAAUUCAAAU